UGUUAUAGAUCCGGAGCUUAUAAAAUCUGGUACGUAACUUUUAAGAAAAAUGUCCCUAAAAACUGUUCAAGGAUUGGCGCUAGUUUCUUGUCAAUUUAAAAAAAAAAACUCGAAGAGUAAUCCUGGAGACUUGAAAUUCCUGCUGUAGCCCCGGAUGAACUUAAACAGUUAUUUUCUAUUAAUAGGGUAUUGGACAAAAGUUGCAUCCACCCUUCUGUAUCUUUCAGCAAUCUCCAAUAUAUACAGAAACUGCUAAGUUUUUUUUUGUAAGCAAUCGUGGCAACCAUACAACUUAGUAUAAAAGUAGCAAGCUUCCUUAGAAAUUUUUAGUGGUCCUGACUUCUUUCCCUCUUUGUAUAAGUAUCUUUCUUGACUGCAUUUCAAUAUUCCUUAGAGCGUCCCAGGAUGAGGCAAGGUUGUUAGGCAAUUUAACGCUAUUUUUUUCAGAAAUUUUCAUACGGAUCCCCUCGGAGUUCAACAAGGACACGUUCAAUUUCAAACGUGACUUACGGGAUCCAGAUGGAUAACCAAAUGAUGUAGACACUGGGGGGUGAUCCGAAAUGUAGCAUGGAAGGACUUUAAAAUAUUUAAGAAGACUUGGUCUUUGUGUCGAACUUCAUUUGAGGAGAGUUUGCUUCCGUGGUCAAACACAGAUCGCACAAAUUCAGAGUUUUGAUAAUUUUGUCUAGAUUUUUGGUAUUGGCUUUCUUAUUUGACCCCUUAUAUCCACGAGCAUCUUUAUCUGGGUUGAAGGUGACGUUGAGAUCACCUGCAAUGAGGGCUUCAUUUCCCAGUGAAGGGUAGUAUUUUCCUACUAUAUUAGAAAACCAAUCCUUCGAGUUUGAAUUAAUACCAUGUUCUAUUUUUAAGGGAGUUUAUGUCUGCCACAAUAUAAUUCCCAUCUGGAUCUGAAGCCACAAGCUGGGGAUUAAGAGAACUCUUUAUAAGAAACAAACAAUCCUCUGGACGUCUGUGAAGUAGGCCUAACCGCUUUAGCGAGAAAGAACACAUGGGAUUUAGGGAUAAGAUGUCGUACAUAAUUGGUGUCUUGUAGUCUAUUAUCUACUAGGAUUAUGAUGUCUGGGAAAGAAAUUACACUCAAAUAGAACCUUUACUGGUAUGGAUUUUAAGAAGGGGACCAUGUCCUAAAAAUUCUUCAUUCAACUCCUCUAAGAGACUGGCGUUGCUUUUCACAUUUGCCCUUUACUGGAAGGAGCGAAGGGAUUUUUGAUGGGUCACCCGACACUUGAAAUGCGAUUGAACUAUUCCCUAUAACAUUUUGUUGUCCCUUAAGGGCUGGACGUAUGACAAGAUUUUCCCUGUUUACUUCCGAUCGAACAUACCCUUCUUUUUUCACUUCUUCCACAAAAAGUUUCAAGGUAUUAAAUAAAUAAUUUUCCUUUAAUCUUCCUAAACAUUUGUAAGCUUAAGUUAGCCUAAAAUCUAUAGCCUUUUUAAGGCGUCUGGUAUCAAUGGAAAAAGAUCUCCCCGAUGUACCUUGUUCGUAUUUUACGGGAAGUUCUAAAUUAGCGAUUUUUUUUAUUUAUAUCUAUUGGUUUUUUCUAGGUGUGAUAGAUCAUAGGCUGGGAACCCUAAUUCGUGAAUCGCUAUUUCAGCGACUUCAAAAUCUAUGGAAAACCCCAUCUUAGGGGAUCAAUUUAUCUUCGUUAAUUUUUUCAAUUUAAAAAAUUGCCACAGUGUGUUAAACGGAACAUCUAAUGUCUCUUUACCCUUUUCAGAGUCUUGUUGGUCUAUGACGUCAUCACUUCUUCCGUAAAAAGAAUUCGGAUCAUUAGACAUUUGAGACUACUGUCAUCCUUGCGACCAAUUGUUCCUUUCUCCCUUUCAUACAGACCAACGGAUGUUGGGGAUCGUUCAAGGCUUUACAAAAGUUUCAGUACAUAGAUUUCUUUUGAUGAAACGAACUGGAAAUAUGAAUAAAACUCCCAAAAAGUGAAGACAUCUUGGGAAAAGGGAAUAUAUUUAUAUAGACUUACCUAUAAAAAAUGAAAAAAAUAUCUUAUUAAUAUUUAAUUAAGAAGAAAGUCAUUUAGAAAACAAAGUAGAGAUGAAAGAAAGAAAACUUUGAACAUAAGAGUCACAGAGGUAUUGGGUAAAAGGAAAAAGAUAUCAAAAAUCCAUAGCUAUUUGGAAAAAAUGGUCUCACAAAAAUCAAAAAAUCAUUAAUUGGGACCCCCUCCCAAUGACGUCAGCCCCUCCAGCUUUCACUCAGCAUACGCCCCUUCAUAUUUUUGUCUUAUCAUUUCAGGCUGUGUCUAAAGAAGAAAAAAACAACUAAAUGCAAAACUCUAAUUUAUUUUGAGUGUUCAUCCUUAAAGAAGAAAAUUUAAUCAAGUAAACGACUUCUUCUUUCACUAUAUCAGAAGAAUCUUCCGAACUUAUGAUAGCAAUGUUUACCAAAUUAUUGUUACCUUGGUCCAAUUAAUGUGAUGAUUAUUUGACAGAAAGCAAAUCUAUCAUUUAAUAAAAAUAAUGAUUUUUUCUUAUGAGGAAAAUGUCAUUGAAAGCUUUAUUUUGAUCAUCACUUAUCUAGAUUUAUGCAGCUGUCCACUAGUUUGUUGACAGAUCAUGAGUUGGUGGUAUGUGCUACACAAUUUUGAAUACAAAACACAACUAUAGGAACUGCAACAACUUUCAAACAUAGAGACUUGAAGAAAAACCAUCGGAAAAAGAGGAAUUAUAUGGUCUUAUGGGAUACUCUCUGAUAAUAGUAUCUUAUAGAUUAAUUAGGAUACAGUCCAUGAUUGAUGUUGUUAGACAAAAAAUGGACUCUUCAUUGGCAAGAUGGUAAUUACAUUGAGCUUGUAAUUUGGAUUGGAUGAAAGCCUCUACAAUGCAGUCAAGGAUUAAUUAUUUAACUAGAACGGAUCAUUUGCAUUUCUUCGUAGAAUAA
rnacentral:lncRNA from 1 species